UACGGAGGGUGCAAGCGUUGCUCGGAAUUACUGGGCGUAAAGCGCGUGUAGGCGGUUUCGUGUGUCUGAUGUGAAAUCCCCGGGCUCAACCCGGGAAGUGCAUUGGAAACUGCGAGACUAGAGUCCCGGAGAGGAAGGUGGAAUUCCAGGUGUAGCGGUGAAAUGCGUAGAUAUCUGGAAGAACACCGGUGGCGAAGGCGGCCUCUGGACGGUGACUGACGCUGAGACGCGAAAGCGUGGGGAGCAAACAGGGAUGAGAA
rnacentral:rRNA from 1 species